rnacentral:lncRNA from 1 species
UUAAGAACAGAAGCUCCAGCAUAGAUGUAAUUUACUAAUUUCCUGUAGCUACUGGGUAGCUCAGAAAGCUUUAAUCACAGGGUAUAUAUAAUUUAUAACUUUCUAUAAAAACUCAACAAGUAGGGUAUUUUCCUUCCUUUAGAAUGUAGGCAUGAAGUAACUAACUUAUUUCCUUUUCUUUAUCAAUCCUUGGACUUGGGUUUUGGUAUAUCCUUUCAGAACUACUUCAAACAGGCCUUAAA